GCUGGCGGCGUGCUUAACACAUGCAAGUCGGACGAGGACUGGAAGGUGCUUGCACUGACCGAGCCGAGUGGCGGACGGGUGAGUAACACGUGACCAACCUACCUUCAGGUGGGGGACAACCCGGGGAAACCUGGGCUAAUACCGCAUGACGUCCUUGUGUCGCAUGGCACUUGGAUCAAAGGAGGCCUCUGCUUGCAAGCUUCCGCCUGAAGAGGGGGUCGCGGCGUAUCAGUUAGUUGGUGAGGUAACGGCUCACCAAGACUACGACGCGUAGCGGGUCUGAGAGGACGACCCGUCACAUUGGGACUGAGAUACGGCCCAGACUCCUACGGGAGGCAGCAGUGGGGAAUAUUGCGCAAUGGCCGAAAGGCUGACGCAGCGACGCCGCGUGUGGGAGGAAGCCCUUCGGGGUGUAAACCACUGUCAGGGGGGAAGAAACCUGGUCAUGGGAAUAUCGUGAUCAGCUGACGGUACCCCCAGAGGAAGCGCCGGCUAACUCCGUGCCAGCAGCCGCGGUAAGACGGA
rnacentral:rRNA from 1 species